CUGAAUAUGUUUCCUGUGGAAUAAAAUAAAUGCAUCUGCUGAGGGACAGUCAGUGAGUGUGUCUGUGUCCAACUCUUCCUCACAGGUUAGUUAAUGACAGACAGUCAGUGAGUGUGUGUGUGUCCAACUCUUCCUCACAGGUUAGUUAAUGACAGACAGUCAGUGAGUGUGUCUGUGUCCAACUCUUCCUCACAGGUUAGUUAAUGACAGACAGUCAGUGAGUGUGUGUGUGUCCAACUCUUCCUCACAGGUUAGUUAAUGACAGACAGUCAGUGAGUGUGUGUGUGUCCAACUCUUCCUCACAGGUUAGUUAAUGACAGACAGUCAGUGAGUGUGUGUGUGUCCAACUCUUCCUCACAGGUUAGUUAAUGAUGUUACUGAGUCAAUGUGAGCAGAUUGUGUCUGUAGACUGAAGAGAAUCAGAGUCUCACUGAUGGUGGAAAUAAAGGUUUUACUUCCUUAAAA